AGACAGUGACGCCGGGUGCUGGUGUCGAAUAUUUUUGCUUCUCAGCGGGCAGAAAAGAAAGUGUUUUCGUUGAAUUGCACGUCCCUGCAUCAUACGCGCCACUUAACUGAUAUACUCCACCAAUCAACCUCGCCACUAGCGCACAGUAUAGCAUGGGAGACUCGGACGAUGAAUACGACCGUAAACGUCGUGACAAAUUCCGUGGAGAGCGGAGCGCUGGCGGUGGCGGAGGUGGUGAUAGCUAUGGACGGGGAGUGGACCGACCGGAUCGCUCCAGAGGGCGAGACGAUUGGCCGGAUCGAGUCCGACCGCGGCAAGAUUAUCGCGAUUACAGACCACCGCCAAGGGAUCGCGGUUACUCGCCAGCUCGAGAAGCGCCGCCCAUGAAACGUAUGCGCGGAGAACCUUGGGGUGAUGAUGGUCGGCACCGGUUUGUUGGUCAUGAUGGUUACGGAAUGUACGGGUACAGCCAUGAACACUUCGGAAUGCAUCAUGGAGCCGGUCCUUACGGUGGCGGUCACCAAUCAGGAGUGCAUCAAAGAGAGCCGGCGCAAUCGGGAGACACUCAAACGCAGCCCUGCAUGAUGACUUUGAAGCAAUUUCUUGCCACACAGGAUGACUCUAUUUCAGAUUCCGAGGCGAUCACCAAAUAUAAUGAGUACAAGCUCGAAUUUCGACGGCAGCAGAUGAACGAGUUCUUUGUGGCCCAUAAGGAUGAAGAAUGGUUUAAAACGAAAUACCAUCCCGAAGAAUCGGAAAAGAGGAAAGCGGAGCAACUGUCGUUUUUGAAGCGGCGCUGCGAAAUUUUUCUCGAGUUGCUGAACACGAAAGACAUCGGACGGGUGUCGGUGGAUGCCUGCAAUAGUGACGCACUGCAUCGGCUACUGGAUACGGUGGUCAUCAAACUCGAAGGGGGAACCGACGAAGAUUUGAAGAUACUGGACGAAAAGCAGCCCGAAACGGCCCGACUUCUCCCGGUUAUUCCGUUGAUCGAUAUGUCGAAAUUGGACGCAAAAAAUGCCGAUGCGUCCACCGCAGCACAGUCUGGCAGCGAAGCACCCGGCGCAAAGAGAGAAGAACAACCGAACGAUCCUGCGGCCGGAGAAGCGGGCGGCGAAGCUGAAGGUGGCCCUGACGAGAAUGGCAAAGAAACUGAAGCAUCGUCUGCUGCCAACGACGAGCCCGCGAAAGGGGAUGAUGACGAAAAUCGCCAUGAAAGCGGAACCGACACUAAGCCACUUGACAAAGAUGACGAUGACGACGACGAACAGCGGCGAAUGAAACGGGAGUCUGAGGUCAGCCGAAAGAAUCGAAGCCGCUCCGAUUCGGCGUCCAGCUCUUCCUCCUCAUCUUCGUCGUCUUCCAGCGAUUCGGACGAGGAGAAGGACGAACGGCAGAAGCCGGAAGACGAUGAGCUUCCGAUUGCGGAGGAAACAACCCCGAAAAGCCCGGUAGAGGAUACCAAGAUGGACACAACCGAGCCAGGCAACGACGGUGGGGCGGAAGACGGCGAGGAAGCUGAUAAAGUUUCGGCAAAAGCUGGCAAUACCGAGGAUGAUCCGACAGUUGAUGACAAUCAAUCGGGUGCGAAAGAUGGCGAAGAUGGCGGGGCAAAGGAUGACGAAAAACGGCAGCCAGAGGGGGGAACCUCUGAUGAGACGGACGGCGAUGGUCAGCCAAAGACCGAAACCAUCGAUUUGGUUAAGGAUUCUCUCGCCGACACUGGCCCUCGUGCGCUACAUCGAACAAGUUCGAUAUUUUUGCGCAACCUGGCGCCCUCCAUCACAAAGGCCGAAGUUGAGGCGAUGUGCCGACGUUACAAUGGAUUUCUGCGGGUGGCCAUCGCCGAUCCGCUGCUCGAGAGGCGCUGGUUCCGGAGAGGCUGGGUUACAUUCAAGCGCGAAGUGAACAUCAAAGAGAUUUGUUGGCACUUGAACAACAUUCGGUUGCGCGAUUGCGAGCUUGGCGCCAUCGUGAACAAGGACCUAAGCCGGCGUGUGCGGCCGGUGAACGGUAUCACCUGCCACAAGACCAUCGUGCGCAGCGACAUCAAGCUCGGGGCCAAGAUUGCGCACAACAUGGACGACAAAUGGGGCCUGUGGAAGGAUGAUCCUGCCGUUGGUCCGAACGGAGGCGGGAAAAAUGGUUCCGGCGGCGCCCAUGAGCCAUCAUUCGGAUUGCAGUCGAAAAAUCCGGUUCUGCAAAACAUUACCGACUAUCUGAUCGAAGAGGCGUCGGCCGAAGAGGAAGAACUGCUCGGUCUUUCCGAUGACAACAAGAAGAGCUCGGAGGGUGAAGUUAUCGAGCGUGAUCCGCAGCUGCUCGAGGUGUUGGAUAAGCUCGUACUGUACUUGCGCAUUGUCCACUCGGUAGACUUCUACAACCACUGCGAGUACCCGUACGAGGACGAGAUGCCCAACCGGUGCGGCAUCAUUCAUGCCCGUGGUCCGCCACCGCAGGGCAAGGUGACGAGUAACGAAAUCCAGGAGUACGUCCGUACGUUCGAGGGCAAGAUGGCUUCGUUCCUGACGAAGCUGGCCGAUUUGGAUGACACGGAGAUGAAGAAGCUCGGCGCAAAGGAUGCCGAGGCGGAGGUGGAAAAGUUCAUCACGGCCAACACGCAGGAGCUGGCGAAGGACAAGUGGCUCUGUCCGCUGUCCGGUAAAAAGUUCAAGGGGCCCGACUUUGUGCGGAAGCACAUCUUCAACAAGCACGCCGAAAAGGUCGAAGAGGUUCGCAAGGAGGUGGAAUAUUUCAAUAACUACCUGAAAGAUUCCAAGCGACCCCAGCUGCCGGAACAUCCUGGCAAUACGAAGAAAGCGGGAUCGGAAAGUGCUGCUCCUGGCGGUGGGGCUGCUCCGGGUGGCGGAUACCGAAGCGCUCCCUUCGGAAUGUCGCACAGCUACGCUCCGAUGUAUGCACCGUAUGCGGCGGCGCCAUUAAUGGCUCCCAACGCACGUGGUAGACCACCGUACGGUCGCGCCGGAAGAGAGCCGAUGGCAGAAACUCGACGACCGAUCAUUGCCUACAGCGACUUGGAUGUACCCAAUUUCAGUGACAGUUUCUUUUGAGGAAUGAGCAUUGUUCCCGAAGGCCAAGGUGAACCCCUGAUUUUGCGUCACGAAUUCGAUUGAAAGUAGCUAGGUAUCUUUCAGCUUUCGAUCUUUCUCUACAUCCGUGCUUUCUGGAUUGUGUACUGAGCUUAUCCGUGGUGUUCACAAACAUGGCGUUUCGAUUCGCAGAGAACUUGAAGUGUCUCACAGUUAUCGAAAAGAUAUCAGACCGAUAGACCAAACAACCAACAUAC